AACGAACGCUGGCGGCAGGCUUAACACAUGCAAGUCGAGCGCCCCGCAAGGGGAGCGGCAGACGGGUGAGGAACGCGUGGGAACGUACCUUUUGGUGCGGAACAACUCCGGGAAACUGGAGCUAAUACCGGACAAGCCCUAACGGGGAAAGUGUUAUCGCCGAAAGAGCGGCGCGCGUCUGAUUAGCUGGUUGGGGGGGUCACGGCACACCAAGGCGACGAGCAGGAGCUGGUGUGAGAGGAUGAGCAGCCAGACUGGGGCUGAGACCCGGCCCCGACUCCUACGGGAGGCAGCAGUGGGGAAUAUUAGACGAUGGGCGCAAGCCUGAUCCCGCCAUGCCGCGUGAGUGAUGAAGGCCUUAGGGUUGUAAAGCUCUUUUGUCCGGGAAGAUAAUGACUGUACCGGAAGAAUAAGCCCCGGCUAACUUCGUG
rnacentral:rRNA from 1 species